rnacentral:rRNA from 1 species
CCUGGGUGACGAGCGGCGGACGGGUGAGUAAUGUCUGGGAAACUGCCUGAUGGAGGGGGAUAACUACUGGAAACGGUAGCUAAUACCGCAUAACGUCGCAAGACCAAAGAGGGGGACCUUCGGGCCUCUUGCCAUCAGAUGUGCCCAGAUGGGAUUAGCUAGUAGGUGGGGUAACGGCUCACCUAGGCGACGAUCCCUAGCUGGUCUGAGAGGAUGACCAGCCACACUGGAACUGAGACACGGUCCAGACUCCUACGGGAGGCAGCAGUGGGGAAUAUUGCACAAUGGGCGCAAGCCUGAUGCAGCCAUGCCGCGUGUAUGAAGAAGGCCUUCGGGUUGUAAAGUACUUUCAGCGAGGAGGAAGGUGUUGAGGUUAAUAACCUCAGCAAUUGACGUUACCCGCAGAAGAAGCACCGGCUAACUCCGUGCCAGCAGCCGCGGUAAUACGGAGGGUGCAAGCGUUAAUCGGAAUUACUGGGCGUAAAGCGCACGCAGGCGGUCUGUCAAGUCGGAUGUGAAAUCCCCGGGCUCAACCUGGGAACUGCAUUCGAAACUGGCAGGCUAGAGUCUUGUAGAGGGGGGUAGAAUUC